CAGUGUACAGCGCUAAAAAUCAGAAUCCCAAAAAUAUCUACAAAAUUCUUUAAAGAAAUUAAAAAAAGAAAGAAAAUGUCCCACAGCCGAUCUCUAUCCCUAUCGCCGCUCUUCAUCCCUGAUAUUUCUUCUUCACCGGCUGCCUUAUCUCCCACGCGGUGCAGGCUUCUCUAGCCGCUCCUCCACUUUCUCCCCUCAGCGCUCGGUGCCCAAGGCUCCAGUGCCGCGGCGCCCCUGCUCGGAGGUCCCUGGUGUCGCGCCCCUCUCUGCUCGGAUCUCCCUGGUGCUCCAGUUCGGGAGCUCGGCCGCUCUUUCCUCUCUACUGCUCGCUGAUUCCCUUUUCCCCAAGCUCUUGUUCCUCUGCUCCUCUUCCCCUGCGCGCUGUGGUCUCCCUCCUCCAAGCUCCCAUGGCGCCCGGCUCUGCUCACCCAUGCCGCGGCGAUCCACCGCGCGCUCCUCCUUCCUCCUCCUCGUCGCGCUCUGCUGCCCAGCUACCUGAUGCGCGCGCGGUUCUCUGCUCCCCUGCACGCAGACUUCUUCUGCUAGCUCGCCCCAACGCCGGCUCGGCCUCUCCUAUGGCGCCCGGCGCUUCUAUCGAGCUCCCCUUCCUCCCCAGCCGCGCGUUCCUUGAGCUCCAGCUCGCUGCGCGCGCCUGCUGCUCGGCGCACCCUACCGAGGUCUCUUCCCCGUGCUUCUUCCUCUCUGCUCGCAGCGCCCGGCCUGUUCUCCUGCGUGGCGCUCCUG
rnacentral:misc_RNA from 1 species